rnacentral:lncRNA from 1 species
AGACCCGUGUAUCAAAAACAACAUGUUCACAUCACAAGUAUACCACCAACCAGAGUUGAUUCCAGAAACAAAGAAGAUUAUACCUACCAAACUUCAACCAAUGUCAGAUACCUAGCAAACUUCAACCAAUGUCAGAUUCAAUACACCUAAAACUAGUAAGGUUCAAUAGACCACAAACUUGUCUGAUUCAAUACAUUUUUCACUUAACAUAUUUCAAUACAAAGAAAACAGAUUCAUUAAACAUAUUUCACAACAGAUUCAUUACAAAGAAGCAAGACCAGAGUCAUUACAAAUAAAACAGAAACUGAAUGCAUUACACAUAAGUACUUAGAUUAGAUAUUAAACAAGACAAGUAAUUAUACAUGGUUCAUUAAACCUAAUUUAGCUAAUUAGAAAAGCUCUGCCAUGAGCUUUUUCUUCAAAGCAAGUUCAUCUUCAUCCAAUGGCUGAGUCUNNNNNNNNNNCAAUUAGAGUGUCAAGAAUUGCCAGCUUUUGGAGUUUUAACUUGGUCUCGUUAUCCUUCUCUUUGUUCUCCCACAACUGAGGAUAGUCUUUGGCAGGUGGAGCUUUAUCUUUUCCCUUAAACCUCUUACCUUUCANNNNNNNNNNNNNNNNNNNNNNNNNNNNNNCUGUUUCAUUUGCAAUCGAACCACAAGAUGCUGGAGCAUCCUCACCUCUCAUUCUCUUGCUACUUGUGUUGCUACUAGGGUUCAUAACACCUAGACUACACCAUUUCUGUUCCUGUCUCAACUCAACCCAUGCAUGCUCGAGACCAAACUUCUUCUUGUAAAGUGACAUGUAGAUNNNNNNNNNNUCGAGACCAAACUUCUUCUUGUAAAGUGACAUGUAGAUUGUAUGAGCAUUUCUGAGGACGUCUACAUCAUUCAUGCCACUAGAUUUCUCAGCCUCAGCACUAACAUAAGCUCCACAGAAGUGGCUGACCUCUUUGCUUAUUCUACCCCAUCUCUGCUUGCAAUGAUCUGGCAGGCGUCGUUCUGCACCAUUCUUCACAUGUUGACUAGNNNNNNNNNNCAAUGAUCUGGCAGGCGUCGUUCUGCACCAUUCUUCACAUGUUGACUAGCUCCAUAAUACUCAGAAAUCCUUUGCCAAAAGGUGCCUGACCUUUGGUCAUUGCCCACAAUCACANNNNNNNNNNUUGCCCACAAUCACAUCCUUUGAUGUGUUAAGCCACCCACUAAUCAACACUAGGUCAUCUGAUGAGUUCCAUUGCCUUCUCUCCCUAUUAGCAUUUGGGGUGGCUUGAGAAGGNNNNNNNNNNAGUUCCAUUGCCUUCUCUCCCUAUUAGCAUUUGGGGUGGCUUGAGAAGGGGUUUGGCUGCGAGUAGGGUUUUGGCUGGGAGAAGGGUUUUGGCUUCCAGAAGGGUUUUGGCUUCCAGAAGGGUUUUGGCUUCCUUGAGAUGGUUGUUGGCUAAAAGGUGGGAAUUNNNNNNNNNNUGGGAGGAGUAGAGCCAAAGUUGACAUUUUGGGAGAAGCUGUCAUAAGGAAAAUUGUUUAAACUAAAGUACCCAGGUGAACCCCCAUACGGAUUGUUUGAAUCCAUUGUGAAAGUUUAGUUUAAAAAGAAGCAAAAAGAAAGUUGAAAGAAGUAGCAAAACAGAUGUGCAAAGAACAAGGAAAACAGAAGGUCAAGCAAGGCACCAAAACUGAAUGUCAAAGAAGAAGAAAACAGAAGGAGGAAAGCAGAAGCAAAACAGAAGUCUCAAAGUCGACGAAGAGCAUAUGUAUAGCAAAACAGAUGGUCAAAGAACAAGGAAAACAGAAGGUCACAGUAGAAGCAAACAGAAGGAUCAAAGAAGAAGCCAAAAAUAGAAGGAUCAAAGAAGAAGCCAAAAAUAGAAGGAUGAAAGGUAAAAGAAGAAGCAAAACAGAUGGAAAAGAAGCAAAAUAGAAGGAUGAAAGAAGAAGGUAGAUGGAAGGAGUUAAUUUCUACAAAGUUCAUAAAGAGACUUUGUAGAGUUAUUACAGAAAGUUAAAGCAAUGUAUUACCUACUUCUAUCAAAUCACCAUUCAAAUAUUAAUGUAGCAAAUAGUGCUCAACCAUAAUACAAUGGUUUCUAAUUAUUAACAGUGAAGAAUAAAGGAGAUAGUUAAGUUUUAAGUGUAAAUUUUAAGUUCUUCUAACUAGAUCAAUUCAAAACAAUACAAUGACUUAUGUCAGAACAAUAUAUAUAACACAAAUUCUUAGUUCACUAACCACCAGUCNNNNNNNNNNUGGAUCUUCUAUAUAUAAGACAAUUUAUGCAAGCAUAGUUCAAUUUAAGGUUUCAAUGCUAUUAUAUAAACAAAUCUCAUAAAGCUCCACAGACGGUUUACUUGAAACCAAUGAUAAACAAAGCUCAGACAAAUGACCUAAGGAUUAAGAUCAAUAUACAACAACAAUUUAUCAAAAGACACCAAAAAGCAAUACAUACUUCAACUCACAACUCUAAACAAGUUCAUCAGGCUACCAUUCAAGAUCAUGAUAUACAUUACCUAUGAACUAAAACGAUUGAGUGACAUACCUCUUAAGGGAGGAGUCAAAUGUGCUGUAUGAAUCCGCUUGACUUUUCCAGGCUAUCCUAAACUUCGAUCCUCAGAAACAAAGAAAAGAAAUAAUAGUUAACCAUCAUGUAAACACUUGUAUCAAAUGCAUUAAGGUUAAUCAGAUCCUUUCUUAAACAUAUAUUUCAUAUAGUUAACUCAGUAAAUCUACAUAGAGUUGGAAAUAUAACUCAGAUAGUUAACUCAGUAAACCAACAUUCUCCUCAGAACCUCUCCUAAACAACAUAUCAACAUACCGAGAAAAUAUACAAAUCAUGCAAAUCCUCUAUCAUACCACUUCUAAAGAACAGAUCACAACUUAAUGUUACAAUACAACAGAUAAUUCCAAUGCCAUCUAAUUAUACCGUAACCUAAAUAUCACAAAAAGACAGAUGAUGUUUACACUCGAGUUUAAACAAUAAAUCAAACGAUAUAAACCUUAAUUCUGAUAAGCUUUUACAAUAACCAACUAGAGAGAACCAAAUAUCCAACGCUAGUUAAUUGUGAAUCAACAAUAGUAAACUGAUCAGACACGGUGAAUUCAACCAAAGAAGAAAGUGAACAAAAUAAGAACAAGNNNNNNNNNNAGACACGGUGAAUUCAACCAAAGAAGAAAGUGAACAAAAUAAGAACAAGACUGAGAAAAGACUUCUACCUGACUAGGAUGGACAAACACGGAGAAACUAGG